CACACACACACACACACACACCAUGUGAGCAUGAAGGAAGAGCUGAGAAGCAAUCCCAGAGACAAGGGGAAAGGCACCAAGCAAGACCCUUCUUGUCGUCAGAAGGAGCAGACCCAUACUGUACUUUUUUGUUGGAUUUCCAGCCUCAGAGUGCCACUCCUACCCUGUUCUGUGCCAGUUAGGGAAGAAGAACUUCUGUUGUGUCCAUGAACAGAGAACACUAGCGGUCACUAACUUCCGCACAGGGGAACCUGCAGGUGUCGGAGACAGUGGAAUGGCUUCGGAUGAUGAAUCAGGGAGGCUGUGUCCUCUGCUCUCUGGCCCUCCACCGUUCAUUCUCCUGUGUAAGUGCCAGUGUGUGUUUCUUUCUCCAGCCUCACGCUCUAAACAAGAUGCCUCUGGCAGAGGCCCGGGUAGAUGGAGUCUCUCAAGUCCAUUGCAACUUCAUUGUCCCUGACUUAUGAAGAGAGCUGGAAGGAGUGACAGAAAGGCCAUGAGGAGACCUGGUUUCUUGAACCACAUGAAUCAGUGCCCACCAGUGUCCUGCAGAGACCCUGUUGCUGGCCCUGGCCCGGGCCCUGUGCCGGCUGACAUCUACUUUAAGUCGAAGUGUUUGCUCAUCAAGACGUCUUUGCCGACACGCACACUUGCCUGAAGACAUCACGCACACAUGCGUAAGCACUCACGUGGACCCGAGGGUUUGCAGUGCUCGUGGAGGAAGUCCUGUGUGACUCAUUCUGUUUGUGUGCUUGGCUGAUGUUUCUGGUUUCCAUGCAAUUUGCUCCUUUUGUAUCAAGACAGAAGUAACGGUG
ensembl:lincRNA Gm13391 predicted gene 13391